rnacentral:rRNA from 1 species
CAUAGGGAAUCUUCCACAAUGGGCGAAAGCCUGAUGGAGCAACGCCGCGUGUGUGAUGAAGGGUUUCGGCUCGUAAAACACUGUUGUAAGAGAAGAAUGACAUUGAGAGUAACUGUUCAAUGUGUGACGGUAUCUUACCAGAAAGGAACGGCUAAAUACGUGUCAG